rnacentral:rRNA from 1 species
UACGUAGGUGGCAAGCGUUGCCCGGAUUUACUGGGCGUAAAGCGUGCGCAGGCGGUUCGUUGUGUCGGCGGUGAAAGCCCCGGGCUUAACCUGGGAAUGGCCGUUGAAACUGGCGAACUGGAGUGUGGCAGAGGGGGGUGGAAUUCCGCGUGUAGCAGUGAAAUGCGUAGAGAUGCGGAGGAACACCGAUGGCGAAGGCAGCCCCCUGGGCUAACACUGACGCUCAGGCACGAAAGCGUGGGGAGCAAACAGG